AGAAAAGUAAGCUAAAUUAAGCUAAUGGGUUCAUACCCCAUUAAUAGAGUUAAUAACAACUCUCUCUUCUA
rnacentral:tRNA from 1 species